rnacentral:snoRNA from 1 species
GGUGUGCUCGGAGCAGGCGGCCUGAAGAACGGCUUCUCUGUUUACUACACACAACGGGAAUUUAGGGCCACUGUGACAGGGGCACAAAACGUGUGACGUCCCUUUAAGCAAAUGUCCCAAAACA